rnacentral:lncRNA from 1 species
CGUUUUCGAAGUAAUGCCUGAAUUAUGACUGUGCUAGAAAGAUAGCAUCCAGGCUCCCAAGAACUGCACAGCAGGCCAGCACAAACCAAGGAAUCUAAACUACCACAGGCAAAUCACCACAGGCAAACAACUCAGAAAAUGCAAACAGCUGCGUUUCCUGAGUUUGCAUCAGGUCUGCCGUCCAGCGAGUCUGUUCCCACCCACUUUGUGUGUUCCUAUCUCGGAAAUUCUACAGGUUUGCUGAGGGCAAAUGAGAGGGCUAUGAAGGCCUCCAGCAAGGUUUUGCGGUUUGGGCACUUUUUAUUUGUUUCUCAAUCUAGAAGGGACCUUGAAGACUCAGGAGCAGAAUUGCCCUGUCUUACACAGGAUACGCCAGGGCCGGAAGACUUGGAUGGUUCUGACUCAGGCAGUGGUGAGAUUAGAAAUGAGGUCAUUUGUGAAUUCCUGGCUGACAAGAAGAAUGUUCUGCACCUGUGUUCUGUCCUCAUUGGAGAAGAGAAGGAUCUGACUACCUUAGUGGCCCUCUGGAGUAGUUAAAUGACACAAUAUAGAAGACAGAAAAAUGUUAUUGCUCAGAUUUUGACCAAUG